CUGCAGAGCUCCUAAGUGAUCUACACAUUUCUCAGCAUCACCACCUUGGCCACGGCCACUAUCAUCUAGUUGUACAGCUGUUGCAAUAACCUUGAACGGCUCCUGUUCCUACCCUCGUAUUCACUCUCAACUAUACAGACAUAGCCUCGAGAGCGAGCUUGAUCAACUUGAACUCCCAACUGGAUUUCCCUGUCAGUUGAAACAUUGCCCAUUCCACUGGCUCGAGUGCCCACAAGAUCUUCAUGGACUGUCUCUCCAGCUGCUCUUCCUCCCCAACCCCUGCUCCAUUUCCCACACCUUCUUCACUGUCUCUAACACUUCCAUACACUCUUGCUUUGCAGCUGGUCUUUGCACUUCCUUCCCUUCUGCUGCCCUGGGACACACUCCCCACAGGUAGCUGUAUGGCUUACUUCUUCAUUUGCCUUAAGGCUCUGCCCACUGAAAAACUAUGAAAUCAGAGACAUCUUCCCGGAUCACUUCCUACAUAAAGUACAUCCUCAUGUCUCUAUCCUCACUUUGUAUGUGUGUGCACACGUGUUUUAGUCACUGUUCCAUUGCUGUGAAGAGACACCAUGAUGAGCAAGGUUCAUGGUUUACCAGUAAAGCUCCCUGGGCAUCUGUCUCUUUCGGUGGCAGUGGCUACAUGGUGUCUCUCUGACUCCCCCUUCUUUCUCCCAGCAUUGAGUUUAGUUCCUCCCCGCCCUGCUGCAAAGCAACACAUAUACAGAAGGACUUCCCAUACCACGUAAGCUUCCAGCGAGCAUCUCCUCCACCUCCACUGGGAAGAUGUCCUGCAGCAGAUACACAUCUGUUGCUUCUGAACUACACCACCACCUGCUUCCCACAUGCACAGAGAUCUUCAGAGGACAAGUCUGUGUCCUGCCCAUCUCUCCAGCCCCACCCUUUCCAGUCCAGUGGUGCUGGAAGACUAUUGGUACCAACUUUGAUAGAAACAUACCCUCAGUCCUCGCUCAGAGCCACUGAUGAGGGAAACACUAGUGGUGAGCUUUCUGGAUUGGUGUGGGCUUCUCAGAC